GACGAACCGAGCGAACGUUGUUCGGAAUCACUGGGCGUAAAGCGCACGUAGGCGGCUUAGCAAGUCGGAAGUGAAAUCCCUCGGCUCAACCAAGGAAGUGCUUUCGAAACUGCUGAGCUUGAGUACUAAAGAGGAUCGCGGAAUUCCCGGUGUAGAGGUGAAAUUCGUAGAUAUCGGGAGGAACACCAGUGGCGAAGGCGGCGAUCUGGGUAGAUACUGACGCUGAGGUGCGAAAGCGUGGGGAGCAAACAGG
rnacentral:rRNA from 1 species